UACAUAGGGGGCAAGCGUUGUCCGGAUUUACUGGGUGUAAAGGGCGCGUAGGCGGGAUGGCAAGUCAGAUGUGAAAUCUCCGGGCUUAACCCGGAAAUUGCAUUUGAAACUGUCGUUCUUGAGUAUCGGAGAGGCAAGCGGAAUUCCUAGUGUAGCGGUGAAAUGCGUAGAUAUUAGGAGGAACACCAGUGGCGAAGGCGGCUUGCUGGACGUCAACUGACGCUGAGGCGCGAAAGCGUGGGGAGCAAAC
rnacentral:rRNA from 1 species